rnacentral:rRNA from 1 species
UACGUAGGGUGCGAGCGUUGUCCGGAAUUAUUGGGCGUAAAGGGCUCGUAGGCGGUUUGUCGCGUCGGGAGUGAAAACCCAGGGCUUAACCCUGGGCUGGCUUCCGAUACGGGCAGACUAGAGGUAUGCAGGGGGAGAACGGAAUUCCUGGUGUAGCGGUGAAAUGCGCAGAUAUCAGGAGGAACACCGGUGGCGAAGGCGGUUCUCUGGGCAUUACCUGACGCUGAGGAGCGAAAGUGUGGGGGAGCGAACAGG